GCAUGAUGUGGUGGUACAUGCCUGUAGUCCCAGCUACUCAGGAGGCCAAGACAGGAGGAUCACUUGAAUCUAGGAGUUCUGAGCUAUAGUGCACCAUUUUAGUAGGGUGUUUGUGCUAAGUUUGGCAUCAGUAUGGUGACCUCCUGAGAGCAAGGGACCACCAAGUUGCCUGAGAAGAGGUAAACUAAGCCCAAGCCAAAGAUGGAACAGGGCAAACUCCCAUGUUGAUCAGCAGUGGGAUUACACCUGUGAAUAGCCAUUGCACUCCAACCUGGCCUGGGUAACAUAGUGAGAUCCUAUCAUA
rnacentral:SRP_RNA from 1 species